rnacentral:rRNA from 1 species
CCUACGGGUGGCUGCAGUGAGGAAUAUUGGUCAAUGGGCGCGAGCCUGAACCAGCCAAGUAGCGUGAAGGAUGAAUGACCUACGGGUUGUAAACUUCUUUUAUAAAGGAAUAAAGUGAGGCACGUGGGCCUUUUUGUAUGUACUUUAUGAAUAAGGAUCGGCUAACUCCGUGACAGCAGCAGCGGUAAUACGGAGGAUCCGAGCGUUAUCCGGAUUUAUUGGGUGUAAAGGGAGCGUAGAUGGGUUGUUAAGUCAGUUGUGAAAGUUUGCGGCUCAACCGUAAAAUUGCAAUUGAUACUGGCAGCCUUGAGUACAGUUGAGGUAGGCGGAAUUCGUGGUGUAGCGGUGAAAUGCUUAGAUAGCACGAAGAACUCCAAUUGCGAAGGCAGCCUACUAAACUGCCACUGACAUUGAUGCUCGAAAGUGUGGGUAUCAAACAGGAGUAGAUACCCGGGUAGUC